rnacentral:rRNA from 1 species
AUGGCCCGCGCCCGGCUGUCCUUCGUCCCCAUCUCCCUCCUUCUGCUAGCCAGCCUCGCCGCCGCCGCAGCAGCAGCUGCGGAUCCAGAGGAAGGGGACCUCAGGAUCAGCGUGCAGUACGCAACCGAGGAGGAGUCUCGGUGGCUUGACCGCUGGGCGGAGAAGUACAAGGCUCAAGGGUCCGGCGAAGGCUUCAAGGUCCAGCCGGCCACCGACGAGGAGUCGGCGCGUAUGAACAGCAUGUUCACCGGCGUCGGCUACGACGGCCACAUCGAGUUUGACGACGACCACCCCUUUGGCAGAAUGGUGGUGGAUGCCUUCCACUCUCGACCUCGUCCGUCCAAGCCGAACGAAAACGAUGAUCUGCAGAAGAAGAACCUGGAGGAGCCUCACUCUCGUGCCGAGCAUGACGUCAAGGAUCUUUAG